UACAUGUGGGGCAAGCGUUGUUCGGAAUCACUGGGCAUAAAGGGUGCGUAGGUGGUCUGGUAAGUCAGUGGUGAAAUCCAGCGGCCCAACCGUUGAAUUGCCAUUGAUACUGCUGGACUUGAGUGCGUGAGGGGUGACUGGAACGCGUGGUGUAGCGGUGAAAUGCGUAGAUAUCACGCGGAAGGCCAACGGCGAAGGCAGGUCACUGGUACGCAACUGACACUGAGGCACGAAAGCGUGGGGAGCAAACAGG
rnacentral:rRNA from 1 species